AUGGCGGAGGGGCAGGUCCUGGUACUCGGCGGCCGAGGCCAUCUCCUGGGCCACUGAGCAGCCAUUGUGGCCCAGCAGGUGCUUCUGGGCCAGAAGGUGGUGGUCAUGCACUGUGAGGGCAUCAACAUUUCUGGCAAUUUCUACAGAAACAAGUUGAAGUACCUGGCCUUCUGCUACAAGCUCAUGAACACCAGCCCUUCCUGUGGCCCCUACCACUUCCAAGCCCACUGCCGCAUCUUCUGGCGGACAGUGCGAGGCACGCUGCCCCACAAGACCAAGCGAGGCCAGGCCGCCCCGGACUGCCCCAAGGUGUCUGAUGGGAUCCUGCCACCGUAUGACAAGAAAAGGCGGAUGGUGGUUCCUGUCGUCCUCAAGGUCGUGCGUCUGAAGCCCACACGGAAGUUUGCCCACCUAGGGCGCCGGGCGCAGGAGGUUGGCUAGAAGCACCAGGCAGUAACAGCCACCCUGGAGGAGAAGAGGAAGGAGAAGGCCAAGACCCAUUACCGAAGAAGCAGCAGCUCACGAGGCUACAGAAGCAGGCCAAAAAGAACAGAGGGGAAAGCUGACAAAUCUGCAGAGGUCCCCAAGACCCACGGACUGCUAGUCUGAGCCCAGUAAAAUUGACUCUUUAUUCUUCACACUUGGCCUGGCCUGCCCUUCCUCCAUUGCCACCAUAGGAU